rnacentral:rRNA from 1 species
CAGCGUUUGACAUGCCAGGACGGUUUCCAGAGAUGGAUUCCUUCCCUUACGGGACCUGGACACAGGUGCUGCAUGGCUGUCGUCAGCUCGUGUCGUGAGAUGUUGGGUUAAGUCCCGCAACGAGCGCAACCCUCGUCUUUAGUUGCCACCAUUUAGUUGGGCACUCUAAAGAAACUGCCGGUGAUAAGCCGGAGGAAGGUGGGGAUGACGUCAAGUCCUCAUGGCCCUUACGCGCUGGGCUACACACGUGCUACAAUGGCGGUGACAACGGGCAGCAAACUCGCGAGAGUGAGCAAAUCCCAAAAAGCCGUCUCAGUUCGGAUUGUUCUCUGCAACUCGAGAGCAUGAAGGCGGAAUCGCUAGUAAUCGCGGAUCAGCACGCCGCGGUGAAUACGUUCCCAGGCCUUGUACACACCGCCCGUCACACCAUGGGAGUUGGUUUCACCCGAAGGUGGUGCGCUAACCCGCAAGGGAGGCAGCCAACCACGGUGGGAUCAGCGACUGGGGUG